rnacentral:rRNA from 1 species
GACCUGGCUCAGGACGAACGCUGGCGGCGCGCCUAACACAUGCAAGUCGAACGGAGAUUACAGGCGGAAGUUUUCGGAUGGAAGCUUGUAAACUUAGUGGCGGACGGGUGAGUAACACGUGAGCAACCUGCCUAUCAGAGGGGGAUAACGAUUGGAAACGAUCGCUAAUACCGCAUGACAUAGCGGAAUCGCAUGGUUCUGCUAUCAAAGAUUUUAUCGCUGAUAGAUGGGCUCGCGUCCGAUUAGAUAGUUGUGGGGUAACGGCCUACCAAGUCGACGAUCGGUAGCCGGACUGAGAGGUCGAAACGGCCACAUUGGGACUGAGACACGGCCCAGACUCCUACGGGAGGCAGCAGUGGGGGAUAUUGCACAAUGGGGGAAACCCUGAUGCAGCGACGCCGCGUGAGGGAAGACGGUCCUCUGGAUUGUAAACCUCUGUCUUCGGGGACGAAACGAGACGGUACCCGAGGAGGAAGCCACGGCUAACUACGUG